GACGAACGCUGGCGGCGUGCUUAACACAUGCAAGUCGAACGGAAAGGCCCUGCUUUUGUGGGGUGCUCGAGUGGCGAACGGGUGAGUAACACGUGAGUAACCUGCCCUUGACUUUGGGAUAACUUCAGGAAACUGGGGCUAAUACCGGAUAGGAGCUCCUGCUGCAUGGUGGGGGUUGGAUAGUUGCGGCGGUUGGGGAUGGACUCGCGGCUUAUCAGCUUGUUGGUGGGGUAGUGGCUUACCAAGGCUUUGACGGGUAGCCGGCCUGAGAGGGUGACCGGCCACAUGGGGACUGAGAUACGGCCCAGAGUCCUACGGGAGGCAGCAGUGGGGAAUAUGGCACAGUGGGCGGAAGCCUGAGGCAACGACGCCGCGUGCGGGAUGACGGCCUUCGGGGUGUGAACCGCUUUCGCCUGUGACGAAGCGUGAGUGACGGUAAUGGGUAAAGAAGCACCGGCUAACUACGUG
rnacentral:rRNA from 1 species